GCCGCUGUGGCUUAGUGGUAUAGCGGUUGAUUCGUAAUCAACAGGCCGGGGGUUCGAAUCCCUCCAGCGGCU
rnacentral:tRNA from 1 species